CCCUUAGAUGUCCUGGGCCGCACGCGCGCUACACUGAUGCAUUCAACGAGUAUUUCCUUGGCCGAGAGGCCUGGGCAAUCUUUUAAACCUGCAUCGUGAUAGGGAUAGAUUAUUGCAAUUAUUAAUCUUGAACGAGGAAUUCCUAGUAAACGCAAAUCAUCAAUUUGCAUUGAUUACGUCCCUGCCCUUUGUACACACCGCCCGUCGCACCUACCGAUUGAAUGGUCCGGUGAAAUCUCGGGAUUGUGGCCAGUUCACUUUAUUGGGAGUUGGCUGCGAGAACUUGCUUAAACCGUAUCAUUUAGAGGAAGGUGAAGUCGUAACA
rnacentral:rRNA from 1 species